UACGUAGGGGGCAAGCGUUAUCCGGAUUUACUGGGUGUAAAGGGGGCGCAGACGGCGAUGCAAGCCAGGAGUGAAAGCCCGGGGCCCAACCCCGGGACUGCUCUUGGAACUGCGUGGCUGGAGUGCAGGAGGGGCAGGCGGAAUUCCUGGUGUAGCGGUGAAAUGCGUAGAUAUUAGGAGGAACACCAGUGGCGAAGGCGGCCUGCUGGACGAUGACUGACGCUGAGGCUCGAAAGCGUGGGGAGCAAACAGG
rnacentral:rRNA from 1 species